ACGCUAGCUACAGGCUUAACACAUGCAAGUCGAGGGGCAGCAUGGUCUUAGCUUGCUAAGGCCGAUGGCGACCGGCGCACUGGUGAGUAACGCGUAUCCAACCUGCCUUACACUCUUGGACAGCCUUCUGAAAGGGAGAUUAAUACAAGAUGUUAUCAUGAGUAAGCAUUUUCGCAUGAUUAAAGGUUUACCGGUGUAAGAUGGGGAUGCGUUCCAUUAGAUAGUAGGCGGGGUAACGGCCCACCUAGUCUUCGAUGGAUAGGGGUUCUGAGAGGAAGGUCCCCCACAUUGGAACUGAGACACGGUCCAAACUCCUACGGGAGGCAGCAGUGAGGAAUAUUGGUCAAUGGACGAGAGUCUGAACCAGCCAAGUAGCGUGAAGGAUGAAGGUUCUAUGGAUUGUAAACUUCUUUUAUACGGGAAUAAACAAAUCCACGCGUGGAUUUUUGCAUGUACCGUAUGAAUAAGGAUCGGCUAACUCCGUGCCAGCAGCCGCGGUAAUACGGAGGAUCCGAGCGUUAUCCGGAUUUAUUGGGUUUAAAGGGAGCGUAGAUGGGUUGUUAAGUCAGUUGUGAAAGUUUGCGGCUCAACCGUAAAAUUGCAAUUGAUACUGGCAGUCUUGAGUACAGUUGAGGUAGGCGGAAUUCGUGGUGUAGCGGUGAAAUGCUUAGAUAUCACGAAGAACUCCGAUUGCGAAGGCAGCUUACUAACCUGUAACUGACAUUGAUGCUCGAAAGUGUGGGUAUCAAACAGGAUUAGAUACCCUGGUAGUCCACACGGUAAACGAUGAAUACUCGCUGUAGGCGAUAUACAGUCUGCGGCCAAGCGAAAGCAUUAAGUAUUCCACCUGGGGAGUACGCCGGCAACGGUGAAACUCAAAGGAAUUGACGGGGGCCCGCACAAGCGGAGGAACAUGUGGUUUAAUUCGAUGAUACGCGAGGAACCUUACCCGGGCUUAAAUUGCAACCGAAUAUGGCGGAAACGCUAUAGCUAGCAAUAGCGGUUGUGAAGGUGCUGCAUGGUUGUCGUCAGCUCGUGCCGUGAGGUGUCGGCUUAAGUGCCAUAACGAGCGCAACCCUUGCCGAUAGUUACUAACAGGUCAUGCUGAGGACUCUGUCGGGACUGCCAUCGUAAGAUGUGAGGAAGGUGGGGAUGACGUCAAAUCAGCACGGCCCUUACGUCCGGGGCUACACACGUGUUACAAUGGGGGGUACAGAGGGCUGCUACCACGCAAGUGGAUGCCAAUCCCAAAAACCUCUCUCAGUUCGGAUUGAAGUCUGCAACCCGACUUCAUGAAGCUGGAUUCGCUAGUAAUCGCGCAUCAGCCACGGCGCGGUGAAUACGUUCCCGGGCCUUGUACACACCGCCCGUCAAGCCAUGGGAGCCGGGGGUACCUGAAGUGCGUAACCGCAAGGAGCGCCCUAGGGUAAAACUGGUGACUGGGGCUAA
rnacentral:rRNA from 1 species